GAUCUGAGAACAAUGAGACGGGGGAGCGCGUGCACGAGACGACUCCAUUUUCAACUUUGAGUCUUUGAACGAAAACAAGGUUUCCCGGUCGGAAUAUUAUCGCUUUUUUACGAGAAAAAUCGCAUAAAAAUGUAUUUUAAACGUUUGACAUGCUUCGAAGUACGGUAAUGGAAUAUUUUGCAUUUUUUUGUCAUGAUACGCGUCCGCGCGUCACCGUUCGGAUAGUGUCUUGAACGCAAGAACAAAACAGAGGAUAUUUGAACAUAACUAUGGAUUAUUUUGAACCAAAACAACAUGUGUGGAUGAAGUAGAAGUCCUGGGAGUGCAUUCUGACGAAGAAUAGCAAAGCGGACGUCUCUUGAUAGACACAUCAACGAGUCAUGGAAAUGUCACUGGGACGAGGGGAGAGAUGGACCAGGAGGACGAGGGGAGAGAUGGACCAGGGGGACGAGGGGAGAGAUGGACGAGGGGAGAGAUGGACCAGGGG
rnacentral:lncRNA from 1 species